AUGGAUCAGCUGGCUUUGCUCGCGACGGAGUUCGGAGAUUCGUCCGACUUCGAGGUCGACGGCAUCAACGAGAACGAUGUCAGCGACGAGGAGAUUGAGGCGGAGGAGCUGGCCCGGCGAAUGUGGAAGGACAGGGUCAGGCUCAGGAGGAUCAAGGAGAGGCAGCAGAAGCUGGCCUUGCAGCAGGCUGAACUGGAGCUGGAGAAGUCCAAGCCCAAGCAGAUAUCUGACCAGGCCAUGCGCAAGAAGAUGGCGAGGGCACACGACGGGAUCCUCAAGUACAUGCUCAAGCUGAUGGAGGUGUGCAAUGCCCGUGGGUUUGUGUACGGGAUCAUCCCUGAGAAAGGGAAGCCUGUGAGUGGUGCGUCGGAUAAUAUUAGAGCUUGGUGGAAGGAGAAGGUUAAGUUUGAUAAGAAUGGUCCGGCAGCGAUUGCGAAGUACGAGGCCGAGCACUUGGUGGAUGCUGAUGCUCAGAGUAGCGUUGUCAAGAACGAGCACAGCUUGAUGGAUCUCCAAGAUGCUACUCUGGGUUCACUGCUUUCGUCAUUGAUGCAGCACUGUAAUCCACCGCAGCGCAAGUACCCCCUGGAGAAGGGCACCCCGCCCCCAUGGUGGCCUGCAGGGAAUGAAGAGUGGUGGGCUGCCUUGGGCCUUCCAAGGGGACAGAUUGCUCCUUACAAAAAACCUCAUGAUCUUAAGAAGGUUUGGAAGGAUAAAAUGACUGCAAAGGAGAGCCUGAUUUGGUUGGGAGUCCUACAGAGAGAGGAAAGGCAUGUGCAUGGCAUUGACAAUGGCGUCUCAGAGAUUACUCACCGCAGUGCUCCAGAAGACAGAAAUGGAACUAGGAACGCACACAGCAGCAGUAAUGAGUAUGAUGUUGAUGGUUUUGAGGAGGCUCCUCUUUCAAUAUCAUCUAAAGAUGAUGAGCAAGGUCUUUCUCCAGCUGCACAAUCCAGCGAGGAGCAUGUCUCCGGAAGAGGCACAGAAAGGGCGAACACUGAACAUCUUUAUAAGGCUGUUACUCUGAAGGAAGGAACAAAAAAACAACCACCAAAGAGAAAAAGGGCACGUCACAGUUCCAUUGCUGUUGAGCAGGAGGUACAAAGGACUGAUGAUGCACCAGAAAAUCCAGGAAAUCUGAUUCCCGAUAUGAACCGACUGAACCAAGUAGAAAUUCCAGGCAUGGCUAACCAGAUUACAAGCUUCAAUCAGAUGGCCGUUACAAGUGAAGCUUUACAACACAGAGGAAAUGCUCAAGGGCAUGCUUAUCUUCCUGGGGCUGGGGUUAAUAGCUUUGAUAAUGCCCAAGCUGUGGAUGCUACUCCUAUAAGCAUAUAUCAGCCUGUACUUUAUGGAAGUAGUGAUAAUGCCAGGUCAAAGUCUGGAAACCCCUUUCCACUGCAUGCCAAUUCUGGUUAUAAUAGUUUUCCCAGUAACUAUCAGACUUUACCUCCGAAACAAUCAGUGCCAUUACCUAUGAUGGAUCAUCAUGUGGUUCCCAUGGGUAUCAGGGCACCAGCUGACAACAGUCCUUAUGGUGAUCAUGUGAUUGGUGGUGGAAGUUCAACUUCUGUCCCUGGGGAUAUGCAACACCUCGUAGAUUUUCCAUUCUACGGUGAGCAAGAUAAGUUUGUUGGCAGUUCUUUUGAGGGGUUACCUUUGGACUAUAUCAGUAUGAGCAGCCCGAUCCCAGAUAUUGAUGAUUUGCUGCUGCAUGAUGAUGAUUUAAUGGAAUACCUGGGAACAUAA
rnacentral:rRNA from 1 species